rnacentral:rRNA from 1 species
UACGGAGGGUGCAAGCGUUAUCCGGAUUCACUGGGUUUAAAGGGUGCGUAGGUGGGUUGGUAAGUCCGUGGUGAAAUCUCCGAGCUUAACUCGGAAACUGCCGUGGAUACUAUCAAUCUUGAAUACUGUGGAGGUAAGCGGAAUAUGUCAUGUAGCGGUGAAAUGCUUAGAUAUGACAUAGAACACCGAUCGCGGAGGCAGCUUGCUACACAGUCAUUGACACUGAGGCCCGAAAGCGUGGGGAUCAAACAGG